rnacentral:rRNA from 1 species
GACGAACGCUGGCGGCGUGCUUAACACAUGCAAGUCGAACGGAAAGGCCCUGCUUUUGUGGGGUGCUCGAGUGGCGAACGGGUGAGUAACACGUGAGUAACCUGCCCUUGACUUUGGGAUAACUUCAGGAAACUGGGGCUAAUACCGGAUAGGAGCUCCUGCUGCAUGGUGGGGGUUGGAAAGUUUCGGCGGUUGGGGAUGGACUCGCGGCUUAUCAGCUUGUUGGUGGGGUAGUGGCUUACCAAGGCUUGGACGGGUAGCCGGCCUGGGAGGGUGACCGGCCACAUAGGCACUGGGAAGCGGCCAGGAGGCAUUCGGGAGGAAAGGGCGGGGAAUAUAGGAAAAGGGGCGGAGGCAGGAAGGAGCAACGCCGGGUGGGGGAACACGGCUUCGGGUUGUAAACCGCUUUCGCCUGUGACGAAGAGUGAGUGACGGUAAUGGGUAAAGAAGCACCGGCUAACUACGUG